AAUGAACGCUGGCGGCAGGCCUAACACAUGCAAGUCGAACGAGGUCUUCGGACCUAGUGGCGGACGGGUGAGUAACGCGUGGGAACGUGCCCUUUGCUACGGAAUAGCCCUGGGAAACUGGGAGUAAUACCGUAUACGCCCGAGAGGGGAAAUGUUUAUCGGCAAAGGAUCGGCCCGCGUUGGAUUAGGUAGUUGGUGAGGUAAUGGCGCACCAAGCCGACGAUCCAUAGCUGGUUUGAGAGGAUGAUCAGCCACACUGGGACUGAGACACGGCCCAGACUCCUACGGGAGGCAGCAGUGGGGAAUCUUAGACAAUGGGGGAGACCCUGAUCUAGCCAUGCCGCGUGAUCGAUGAAGGCCUUAGGGUUGUAAAGAUCUUUCAGAUGGGAAGAUAAUGACGGUACCAUCAGAAGAAGCCCCGGCUAACUCCGUGCCAGCAGCCGCAGUAAAAC
rnacentral:rRNA from 1 species